UAUGAAGGUCAGGCUGAAGACCUUACCCGAUUAGCUGAGAGGUGGUGCAUGGCCGUCGUCAGUUCGUACUGUGAAGCAUCCUGUUAAGUCAGGCAACGAGCGAGACCCACGUCCACAGUUGCCAGCAUACCCUCCGGGGUGAUGGGUACACUGUGGAGACCGCCGCUGCUAAAGCGGAGGAAGGAGUGGGCAACGGUAGGUCAGUAUGCCCCGAAUCUCCCGGGCUACACGCGGGCUACAAUGGUUGGUACAAUGGGCAUCUACCCCGAAAGGGGAAGGAAAUCUCUUAAAGCCAAUCGUAGUUCGGAUUGAGGGCUGCAACUCGCCCUCAUGAAGCUGGAAUCCGUAGUAAUCGCGUUUCAACAGAACGCGGUGAAUACGUCCCUGCUCCUC
rnacentral:rRNA from 1 species